GGUGUUCAAAGCAGGCAGAUCCAAUUUUCUGCCACCGAAUACAUUAGCAUGGGAUAAUGGAAUAGGACCCUGUCCUCCUAUUUUCAGUUGGUUUGCCGCGAGGACCAGGGUAAUGAUUAAUAGGGAUAGUUGGGGGCAUUAAUAUUUAAUUGUCAGAGGUGAAAUUUUUGGAUUUAUGAAAGAUUAACUUCUGCGAAAGCAUCUGCCAAGGAUGUUUUCAUUAAUCAAGAACGAAAGUUAUGGGAUCGAAGACGAUCAGAUACCGUAGUAGUCUUAACCAUAAACGAUGCCGACCAGCGAUUAGGAGACGUUGAAUACAAAACACCACCAUGCGCAUUGCGGUCGUCUUUGGUGUCGCUCACAUGGCCCAGACGGUUUUGGCUGAAGGCCCCCAGGACCCCCACCC
rnacentral:rRNA from 1 species